CUCCCGGGAGCAGCAGCGGAGGGGGUUUCUCACUUUCUAGCAGCUUCGGUGCGCUGCGCUUAGACUAGGAAACAGGCGCUCUGCGGUGAAAUGAGGGGCUCUGCCCCACGAAUCCUUCUCGCUAGCUUCUUUCAGAGCUUGCCACGGAGAAAUUUCGUCUUUAUUCCUUGGGUAAUUCUCCUGCCUGGAGCCCUGGUUAGUCCCUUCGUCGCCGCUCCCUCCCCAUCAUGCCUCCUCUUCAGGGGGCGAACGUGCGUCUGUUCCGUUUGGAAACGUCUCCUUUGGCCUCGGAGCAGGACCCCAGUUCGCCGUGCGUCCCUGCGGGGCCUGGCCACCCAUCGCCUCCAGGUUGGUGAUUAGUUAUCUGGCACCACAGACCCCGUGGCAGCCAUGGAGUGGCUUCUCCUUUUGGUGAUUUUGGCAGCUGGCAUUUAUGGAGGAUUACAGCUUUCCAAGCCCCUUCCCAAGCCUCUGAUGUGUUUUGACACUAAUGCUCACGGCCACCCUCUGCGGUACUCAACAAGAAUGAGCUUCGCACAUCCGAUAAGCUAGCAUUUUCAAGAACCUGUAUCCUUGCAGCAAUUGUAAGUACCAUAAUCUUCCUUAUUGAAUCACUGAUGUUGAAACCAGGCAGGGCCCUGUGGGCUCCUGGGAGCAAAAGCCUUUCUGUGCCCUUUCUUGUUCUUAAGACAUGGGACUCAUUCAGCCUCCAGGACUUUCCCUGAGCUCCAAGGGGCAGGUUCAGACAGGUGCUGAUCAGGGAAGAGAGGGGAUGCAGAGACCAGGGAGGAGCCAGUAGCAGGGAGGAAACAAUAGCACGGCCUUGGGGCAGGAUCCUGGUUCCCUCUCAAGGGAUACACCUAAUAAUAUAGGCAUCUUAUACACCUAAGAGAAAAGUUAUAUUCCUUAUGCUUCUUUUAGAAAGUAGUACUUUAAAAUUGAACAGCUUAGAGUUCUUCCUUCUCCUUCUCCCUGGCCUAAUUGCACCCUAGACACAAUCACCCGUAAGUUAAAGAUUAGGCACCCUGAACACAAUUGCUUGUGGGCUAAAGAUUAUUAGCACAUGAUGUUUUUUAGGAACUUUCUUAAUUCACGCCAGUCUCUGAUCAAUAUGCCUUUUUUGCAAGUAAUGUUUUUCUAGGCAAUAACCCACCAUCACAAUCACACUGAGGUCUCCUGACUCCAGCUUUGAUGACUAAGAUUCCCCCAAAGAAAGAAGAAUGUAUGUUUGUCCCAGUCCUGAUUCCUAUCUAAAAACCUGUUUCCAGUGGGUGGGGGCACAGUCUUUAGGACAUUAGUCUGCUGUGCCUCCCCCCCGCCUUUGCCUGACAAAGCUGUAAAGCUAUUAUUACUCCUUCACCCAAGACUCUGUCUCUGCAUUUCACUUCGGCCCUGGCAGACAGAGGCCGAAUUCCGGCACCCCUGCUACAGUUCAGAUAGAAGCAUUUAACACGCCGUUUUGGGGCAUUAAAUUGAACCACUGUUUUAAGCUUUGUCGUGCAUCUUGAGUGGCUACUCUGUCCUCAGUUGGACACAAACCAGAGUGUCUGGUGGAGCUGGCAUGAGGGCAGGGGGCGGACAGCUGGAAUCCCAGCUCCACCGCGCUGAUCGCUUUGCACCGUCAGCAGGUUGGCUUCUCAGCCUCGGCAUCCAGAGCCUGAAAGGAGGACUUUUCUGUUGUGAGGCCUGAGCUGUUGUGUGCAAAGAACUUGUGCAUUGCUUGACACAACUGCUGAUAGUAAUCGGCAGUUGUGACUGUUAUUAAUUUAUGAGAUGAUCUCAAGGAUGUUUAGCUGACAUGGGAACUCCCAGAACAUAUGGUUGAACCUCUCACUUUACAAAUAAGAGCAAAUCUAAUGUUGGUUUAGGUGACUUGCUCAAGGAGAGUAAGAGUCUGUGGUGUGACCCCUACAGUGCAGGCCUCGCCUUCGAUCCCAGUCCUCUCCCAGCCUUCCCCACUGUAUUGCCGGUGUCAGAAAUAAUUCGAAAUCCUUAGAUUCACCCGUCAGGAUUUCUGUGUGAAAUACAACUUCCUCCAGAUGAGCAAGUCAGGUUACAUAGCUCUGUUGCUGCUGAGCUGCAGUUUGGUGUUUUAUUCUGAGAUUUCUCGCAUUCGUGGGUGUCUGUGCAACAAACACUAACUCGGUAUUUGAGGAGACCCCUCCCUGUUGGUCCAGGCUGUGGGAUGUGUUUAAGCUCAGAUGUGUCGAAUGCGCUUUGAUUUUUGAUUCAUAGGACCAACAAAUGCUGGAUGCCUUUGACUCACAACUUUGUUUCUAUCUUCAGUGUGGCCCCUUCAUCUCAAAAAAACUAUUUGCAGUCAUUUCCCUAACAAACAUGCUUCAAGAAAUCUGGAUUUUUUUUCCCCAGAAGGCUAAAGGGUCAGGUUAUAUUAUUAAAUAUGAUCUAUCAUCAAAUAGAUUUUUAAAAUUAUUAUUGCUUCUGGCUACUUUCCCCCUUUUUUCCUUUUAUAUAAGCCAUCCCUGAGACAAAGCAUUUUCUUCAUCCUCUUCUUUAUUAUUUUGAAUUGUGUAAUGUUUCAGGUAAUUUUUUCUCUCUUGCAGAAUCAUCACAAAAACCAAUUAGUAUAAAUUCUUUUAUAACAACAGCAACAGACAAUACUCUUCUCACAGUGAUGUUUUUCAUCAAAUAUAUUUACAGGUGGUUUAUAAAAAAUGUGCAAGGGAAAAGUUCGAAUUCUCAUUUAAAUUGCUCACAAUUCUCAUCAGUAAAUGCCUAUUUUGAUCAUAAUUACUAGUCUUACUCAUAUUGAGUCACACUAAUGUUUAAGCCAUAGGAACAGGCAUUUCUGCUUCUUCUAUUUUUAAAGUGUAAUUCCAUGAACUUGUGGAUCACUAUUUAAAGAGGAUUUUUGGUAUCCAAAAACGUAAUCUCUAAUCCUUGGGAUUUUUCAUAAUUUUAACCAUAGCUCUGGAAGUCAAUUUUAUUUCAGUGUCUCUACAAAACUAAAGUGGAACUUGAAAUGCCCAAGAUACUUUUGCUUUAAGGUCUGCUUACACUGCCUUCCUUUUAGUGAUUCUGACUGUGUAUAUCCUUUCUAGAUGCAGUUCCUUUUUGGGGAAGUCUGGGCUCAUUUGGGAUAUUUUCAUAGCCUUGCAAAGAGUGGGGCAUUUACUGCUAAUUCUGCCGGCGCCCUGAUUAUUUAUGAUUAGUAUGAGAGUAGACCUUUUGAUACUCCUGUGUUUCUGUAACACAGUCUUUGACCCGCCUCCCCCCCCUCAAAAUGGGAAAUGAGGAAGAGAUAUUGAAGAGGGAUUUAUUAAUCUAAUUUAAAAAUCUUUUUGUCAAUUGAAAAUUUGGCAAACCACAUCCUUUUAAAAAACCACUUCACUGAGGUAUAAAUGACAUUAAAAGCCUGUGUGUAUUUAAAGUUUGCAAACUGAUGGGUUUGGAGAUAAGUCUGUACCCAUGAAGCCAUCAUCACAGCUUGUGCCGUAAAUAUAUCCAUCCUUCCAAAAGUUUUCUAUUAUCCUCAUAGUCAUCAUUAUUAAUAAGAACAUAACAUGAAGUCUACAAAUGGCCAACAGGGACAUAAAGAGAUGCUCACUAUGACUAAUCAUCAGGGAACUGCAAACACAAUGAGAAGACUCCUCACAGCCCGUAGGAUGGCUCUCACUGGCAAAAGAGAAAGAGAGAAGUGUUGUGAAGAAGUAGAGCAGAGGGCACCCUCGCGCACUAUUCACAGGAAUGUAAAGCGGUGCAGCCAAGGUGGGAAACAGUAUGAGGUUGUCCUCAAAUAAUUAAAAACAGAACUUCUGGGUCCAUCUCACUUCUGGGUAUUUAUCCAGAGGAACUGAGAUCAGAAUCUUGAGGAGAUGCCUGCACUCCAGAGUCAUUGCAGCUUUAUCCACGAUAGACAAGACACAGAAGCAGCCUUUCCACUGACAGAUGUGUGGGCAAAGAAAACGUGGUACUAACACACAGUGAAAUAGGGUUCAAGUUUAAAAAGAAGGAAAUGCUACUAUUUGGGGCAGCAUGGAUGAAUUUGGGGACAGUAUGCUAAGAGAAAUAAGGCAGACACAGAAGGACUGACACCACUUAUAAGAGGAAGUGGAAAUAGUCAAACUCAGAGACCCACUGAGUGGAAUAGUGGCUGCCUGAGCUGGGCAAGAGGAGCCUGGGGAGCUGUCACUAAUCCAAGGGUACAGAGUCGCAGCUAUUCCAGACGACCACAACCUAGCCAUCUACUGUACUCAGUGGUGUCAAACUGCAUUCUGCUUCAAGAAUAAAUGAGAUUUUAUGUUACAUUACCCUAUCUUCUACAUCUUGGUUACAUAAAGAGAAAUUAUGUAAUUAAACACUGCAAGGUCAGAGAAUGAAAGACAAAUGUUUUAAGCAUAAAAAAAGCAUUGUUACUUUAUAGCGUCAUUAGUUCUUAUACUGAUGUGUCAGGGCUGUAGAUCAUGUGGGGAGGAGUGAUUAUAAGGAUUGGAACCUCUGAACCUCCAUGUGGGAAAACAAUGAUCGUGUAUUAGGAGAGUAUAUGUUAAAAUGAAUGAACUUGUGUGAAUGCAGUGAAUUUUACCAAAGGUCAAGCUUUCUUCAGCAUAAUUUUCAGCUUUUUAUAGAGCUGAAAUGUCUGGUGAGGAAGAGGGUUUCUCCAAGGUGCAUCUUUUGUCUGCAGAUCACAGAGGACUCGAAUGCUUCACUUUUCAGAACAAGAGCAGCUGGUGUGUUCUUAGAAAGCACGGUUUCAUGUUUCUAGUGCUUGUCUUGUUAGUCUAGCCUCCUGCUUUCUGUUAGUCUCUUUCAUCUAAAAUUUCUGUCUUGGGAGUUCCCGUCGUGGUGCAGUGGUUAAUCAAUCCGACUAGGAACCAUGAGGUUGCAGGUUUGAUCCCUGGCCUUGCUCAGUGAGUUAAGGAUCUGGUGUUGCCGUGAGCUAUAGUGGAGGCUGCAGACAUGGCUCGGAUCCCGCGUUGCUGUGGCUCUGGCGUAGGCCGGCAGCUACAGCUCCGAUUAGACCCCUAGCCUGGGAACCUCCACAUGCCGCGGGAGCGGCCCUGGAAAAGGC